UUUAUUACAAUUCUGCCUUUCUUUCUUUUUUUUUUUUUGUGAAUUCCUCUUUUAACGUUGUUGUUUGUUACUUGCUCCCACCAUGAUUUAUUGUACAUUUGCUGGUUACAUGUUCCCGUCGGUAAUUGCAAAUUAAAAGCAUGCCAGGAACUGAACGAACCUGAGAAAGAAACUGUGGCUGCAUCAAUAUCCCAAAACGACCAAACAACUUGAAUAAGGGAAAAAAAUUCAAAAAAAAAAAAGUGAAUAUACUUUAGCAGCUCUUCAUGUAAGCGUGCAAGUGACUGCAUACAUACAUAUAUAUGGACCCAAUGGAUAGAUAAAAAAAAAAUAAAAAAAACAUGGUAAUUGAGGAUUAUAGACAACAAAGGCACACAACACACAACAGUAUUACAAAAAGUAACAAGAAGAAGAAGAUGAAGAAGAGCAGAGCGAAAAAACAGAUUUAUUUGUUAAAGCAAUGCCAUGUUAACUUGUGAAUAUAUAUAUAUAUAUAUAUAUAUAUAUAUAUAUAUAUAUGAAUAUAUAUGUGCAUAAACACAUCUGUUUAUAUGUGUUGGCAUAAAGAUGCUUUCUGCAUCAAAGACAUCCAACAAAAGAGAGGUGAUAUUUUUGCUUUCCUCUUUUUUUUUAAUUUUUGUUCACUUAACCGGUUGUACCAUGAUGACAUGCUAUACCAGAUAAGUUUUCUUCAUUUAGUAAUAAAAAUGAUCGUCGUUGUCUUUUUAUUUUUUUGUUUUUUUUUUUUUUUUUCUUAAUAUUUAAGAUAAUUUCAACAAUUACAAAUAUACUUAAUUAUACAAAAAGAUAUAUGUAUAUGCACAUACGUACAUAUGUCGCAAGUAAAGGGCAGAGUAACAAAAAGAAAGGAAUUAAUCACUAGUGAUGUAUACUGCAGCAGACAAGCGUGCUGCGGCUCUAAUGAAUUACAAACGGGACCUUAAGGCAAUUUUCUGAGUGUUUACAACGAUUCGAACCGAAGGUUUGGUGGCCGUGAUGAUAGUCAUAUAAUUAAAAGAAAACGGUUUAAUCCCAUUCGCAAAUCUUUUUCAAAAAAUAGAAGUUUCAUACUGUCUAUAGCUAUCUGCGCAAUCACCAUUAUAUAUAUGCAUUUUCCUAAAACAAACCGAUCUUGGCCAUCAAGCGAUUCAGUCUUUGCAAUUUUCAGAUUCGCUCACGAAAGCAUUGUCUAUGGCGAAAAGGUUGAUGUCUGUCCGAUUAGGCGAAAUUCCCAAACUUUACCGAAACUGUGCGGAGAUGUAGAAGGUAAAUAGUCUCGACCAAUAUAUUCUAACAAAUCUAUCCUGAGAGAGAGAGAGAGAGAUGUUAUUAAUCCCAAAGCAUUUUUUGUUUGCAGUUUUCGUGACUAAACAGCUUUGCCUUACAAUACAGUUAAUAUCGGAAAAUUUUAUGGUGAAUAUUGCUCGGAGUAGGGCUCUAAGUCAAAGUAUAAAGACUAUGUGAGUAGUUGAUCUUUCGCUUGCACACGCGUGAGGUCUUUAAUAUCUUAUAUUGACAAUAUCGGACAAUAUGCCUCAUAUAAGCUAUAUACGAGUUGAACUACUACGCUUUGUAUGAAGACUCUGCCCCGUCGUAGACCCCGGUGAAAUUUUACAUGGUCCGUUCCAGAAAGUCAAAGACUAUAAUUACUAAUGAAAAUGUCGCCGAAGUUCACAAAGCGGUCGUGGACGAUUGUCAAAAUAAAGUUGGAGAGAUGACAGUAGAGGGUAUGAACGUGUCCUAAGGACGAGUGAAUCAUAUUGAACCGAGAUUUAGACGAAAGGGAGCUGAUCGAGAAGACAUUGACGUUCACGCUUGUAGUGAACUAAAAGCACCGAAUCGUGAGUUGAUGGCUACAACGAUAAAAUUAGAUGAAUGGACCGCGAUUUGCCACUGCACCUACUAUGACCUCCAUGUCUAACUUGCAAUGCUUGUCAUAUGUUGAUUAAUAUUAAAAUGUAAUCCAAACUUACAAGCUGUUCACUGUAAAAACUGGAGCACACUUUGAGUAUCUGCAGCAAUUUCCUUAAAAAGAUGUCAGGGAAUUGUUACACUGAUUGCAAUGUUCUUGACGGAGAUUAUAUUGGUUAAUGUUGUCGAAUUUCGGAAAAAGAAAAGCUUUUCUCUACUGUCUGUAAUCGUCAAAGGAUGGUAGGAAUCAAUUAAAUCAAUAGUUUCACUCAUUGUUCCUAUGGGUCUGCGAAAAACAAAAGUUUCUACAAUCUCCGCAACGAUAUAUUGCAGAAAUCCCCUAAAAAAAUGACACCACUUGUGCAUUCUCAAACAACCUUUUUACAUACGCCUUAGAUGAUGGACGCAAAGGGAAAACUAUUACUUAUCCAUAUUCAGUUUGUUUACGAAAUUUUUUAAUUGUUUUUCCCUCUUUCUUCUCGUAGAGCACUAAACAAGGGGAGAUAUCGUCACUAUUGCGGUUGACAAUGCUAAUGCCAUUUAGCCAGAUAAAUAUUUGGAAUGCGUUUUUUCAUGUUUAGCAAGGAAGGUUGGUGUUAUGAUCACUUAUAUAAGCUAUCAUAAGACCUUUAGUCUUACCAUGUCCAAAUCAAUUGCGUUGAGUUAUGCGUCGGACAGUGUGUGUCAGAUUGGUAAGUCCUUGCUACUUCGAAUUGGAAUGAAUACAGCAUCAAACAAUAACUGCAUGUAACUACACCUUAGCGGGCAAGAAACCACAUUAACCAUAAUGCCCAACUUUCUUUCUAAUGCCACUUCAUAUCAAAAGUGAAAAAUUUAGUUAUGAUGUGAAUACAGGCCGCAUUAUUAUUAUUAUUAUUGUUGUUAUAAUUAUCGGUGUUGCUGUUGUUGUCGUUAAAAUUAUUACUUCUUUUAUACAUUGAUAUAAGAAUUUUUAAAACAAUAUUGAAAGGUUAUGUGUUCUCAAAAAAGAAAAAAAUCGAUCCGUUCAAAAGGAAAGUACGGCAAGGGUUGCUCUUAAUGAAAACCACCAAACAACGUGUAUGCGUAUUAUGCUCAUAGAACAGGAAACAAAAACAAAUGACGAUUCGAAAGCUUGGAAAAUUUGACGGAUUAAUGUAAUCUCAUGUCCAGGGCAUCAAAAUUGAAAUCUCCAAGAGCAAUUAUUUAAAGAGUUGUAAGGAAUUUAAAGAAAACGCCAGAUAAGCGAUCGUAACUUAAGACGUUGGCACAAAGAUGUUUGUGAACUACAAUCUGCGCGAAAAGCUGCUUAAUACAGUCAGUAGGAAUACUGCUUAGUUGAAUAUGAGUAAGAAGCUGUGGUAAAAGGUAUGGCAUUAUAUGCAAACCCUCUAAAAGGACAGAAGAAGAGUAUGAGCAGAAGCGUUACGAAAUUGAAAAACGAUUGUAAAUUACACAGCUUGGGUAACCCAAUACGUCGUAGUUUCAUUUAUAAAAUAGAAAAAGUAAGCCCUUUUCACAAUUUUGUAUAGUAAAAAUAGUAGUAGUGCUUGGUAAGCCUAAGGUGAUCACAAUAAUCCAUUUUCAUUUAAAUCGGUUAAUCCCUCAACUUCAUAUAUUAGAAGAGAUAUAGAGAGAGAGAGAGAGAGAAUUGUAAAGAGUGUCAUUCCAAUUAAAUCCUAAAAUUAAAGUUUUGCCAGAAAAUAUGAUUCGUUUCGCUCUAAUUAACAAGUAAAAGGAACGAAGCGUACCCAGCCAAUGCUAACCUACGACAAACAGUAGGUAAAAGUGAACGUAUUCGUAUGCCUGCAAAGGUUAAGGCUUCGUCUUUUAGAGCACGAGCGGGUAAAUGCGACUUUUUCGUUACGUAAAUUCAGUUUCGAAGCUUAGCUCAUUUUUGUAUUUACACGGUUUUUUCUUUCUUUUUUUUUUUUUACUAUUCAUUACUAUUUGAAGUCAGAACUUUGCCGCUUCCAUAGGAAAUAUGAAACUUGUAUGUGUCUUCAGUUAAGCCACGCUCUACCCUUACCCUCGUGUUGAAAUCGGCAUAGAAACAUGUAAAUCUCUUAUAGAAGAAAGAACACAAUAACAACAACAAAAAAAAAUAA